GCAACAAGUGUAGAGUGGUACCAUUCCGACUCCCUGCUCCAACCCAAAUUAAGAACCGGUUUAACAAGCUGUUUUGAGAGUAAAAUAGAGGCAAUAGAACACCCAGGCCCACCUUAUCUUUAUAAAAACAAUACAAUCAUCAUAAUAAAAAAAACAGCCUCCAUUCUUGCAUGGGAGACUUGAGUCAAGUCUGAAUCAAAGGCAAGUGCAAGCAAAUAUUUAAUUAACAAAACUCUGCUAGUUUUAUUGUAUAAUUCAUAAGCAACACUUGGGUAGGGGAAAGUAUAUAACACUCUCUUCCAUGCAGGAAUGGUUGAAUGCCUUGGAUGUUAUCUUCCUUCUUAUUCUCACGAUUGAAGCUUUGGCGGCUGACUUUCGAAUCCGUUUUCAUGUUGCUGUUUGGCUUGUCCCCUCGCGGCUCAUGUUUUCCUCUUCACCAUGAUUGAGAUGAGCUU
rnacentral:lncRNA from 1 species